UACAGCUAUUUAAAGUCGGCUCAAGUGCUCACUGCUUCUUCGUCUUCUUCGACCUCCAUUCCCUCGUUUCUUUUUCGUCUGGUUCUACAGUAAGUCGAAACCUUAUCUUACCUUUCUCUCCUUCGACCCCGUUUACUGAGAAGCCCUCUGUGGAUCUCCCAAGCCUUCCUUCUUCUCUGUGGAUCUCCCAAGCGUUUCUUCUUUCUCUUCUUCUUUUCUUCUUCUUCGGUCUCUGACCUCCACGAAGAUCUCCCAAGGCUUUCACUGGAUUCGGAUAAAUCGAAAUGGAAUCCAAACUCUCUGCCUGUACAGGCGAGAAUGUUAAGCCUUUUGCAGCCAGCAGUGCCCAACGGUGAGAGUGGGACCGCAGCGGAUUCAGAUUAUUCUCCAGAUUUUGUAAAGGAGCGAUACAGUGAGAAAGAGAUCGGAAGAAGAGUUACUGGGCUUCGUUAAACGCUUAAGGAGCAAGGAAGCUUGUGAUGUUCUCCAACCAACUAGAAAGGAGAAAAAAUGGCUGUGAGAGUAUGAUCCAUACUUUAAGUACAUAAACUAGGCUCCCUUCUAAUGGAUCAAACUAAUCAUCUCUGAGAAGCGAAGAGAGAAGUCUGACUCAUUCCACAUAGAACUCUAGCUGAUUGAUGAAGAAGAAAUACACCCCAAAAGUCGUGGUGGGGAAGAAUGGGUGCGAGAAUAAGAAUGUUGUUUUAGAUGAGAAUGAAGAAAUUCAGUGUAUGAUAAUGGGUAUGGGUGGAGUCGGGAUUGGGUAUGGGUAAGGAUAAAAAACAACAGCGCAUUCAGAAGAAGUGCUGUAAACAAGAUGAAUGUGAGAUAAUUCUCCAUCCAUUUUCAGGCCAUAGGUCGGGAAGCUACCUCAACCAAGCGAAUUCCCACCUAAUCUCAAUUAGAUUGCGAUUGACUUGCCAUCAUCUAAAGGAAGACAUGAUGGAGAGACUCGAGAAGAUACCUGAACGAAAGUAGCUCACGCUAGAUUGGCACCCAUACGAUGGAAUAGUUUUGAAAUACUCUACAGGUGAGUUUCCUAAACUCAAGGUUGAGUUAUUGGAUAGUGUACAAAGGGGAAAUGCCUAGUCUAGGGAUAUUAGACAUUAAUUACAUUUUUGGGUUAAAAUGGAUUCAGGAGGUGGGUUGAGCCGUUGAGGCACAUCACAAUAUUGUAGAAACUUUCUUAGCGGGUUUUUGGAUUUUUUUCUUUUCUAGUGAUGACCAUGCUGAAUGUGAAGGGGGUGAUUGGAUCUGCUUGUACAAUCACCUACAUGAACAUAUAACAUCUGUCUCAUCCAUAUGUUUGCACAGCCGGCAGCUUGUCCCAAUGUUUUCAAUGAAGAUUUUGAUGGUUUUAUGAAUGAGAAUGUUUUCAUGUGUUCCUAAGAAGGUGUAUGUUUAUUCAAUGAAUUAUGGAAAGUUAACCGGGGUGAUGAUUUAUGUAUUUGUAUGGAUUUUUAUGUAUGUCUAUGUCUAUGUCUAUGUCUAUGUAUAUGUGGAGGUGCAUUGUUUCUACUUGCUAGGCUGUAUAGCUGAGACUAUUAAGGCACUUUUGGAAGACUGUUGAAGGACAGGCACAGGCAGACGGUCGCCUUGAAGUUUCUUGCUAGAGUUCUUUUAUUUUCUGCAGGAUGUUUAAUUUGAAUUGAUGCUAUCUUUUCGGAACAGUUGUAUUGAAGUUUCUUGUUAGAAUAACUGACAAUGUGUCGGUAAAAAAACGUCAGAUCAUAAUUAAUUUCUAUUUACACAAAGCCUUCAGAGGAGAA